rnacentral:rRNA from 1 species
UACAUAGGGGGCAAGCGUUGUUCGGAAUUACUGGGCGUAAAGGGCGCGUAGGCGGUCUGUUAAGUCGAAUGUGAAAUCCCCGGGCUCAACCCGGGAACUGCGUCCGAUACUGGCAGGCUUGAAUCCGGGAGAGGGAUGCGGAAUUCCAGGUGUAGCGGUGAAAUGCGUAGAUAUCUGGAGGAACACCGGUGGCGAAGGCGGCAUCCUGGACCGGCAUUGACGCUGAGGCUCGAAAGCCAGGGGAGCAAACGGG